CAGCCGCCACGGGAAUACGGAGGGUGCAAGCGUUAAUCGGAAUUACUGGGCGUAAAGCGCACGCAGGCGGUCUGACAAGUCAGAUGUGAAAUCCCCGGGCUUAACCUGGGAACUGCAUUUGAAACUGUCAGGCUGGAGUCUUGUAGAGGGGGGUGGAAUUCCAGGUGUAGCGGUGAAAUGCGUAGAGAUCUGGAGGAAUACCGGUGGCGAAGGCGGCCCCCUGGACAAAGACUGACGCUCAGGUGCGAAAGCGUGGGGAGCAAACAGGAUUAGAUACCCCGGUAGUCCCUGUCUCUAUACC
rnacentral:rRNA from 1 species